AUUGGCAAGAGUGGGGACAUGGAAGCUGUGUUCAGGCCGGUCCACGCUGGGUGACCCAUGUGACCUGCUGCUUAGCAAUUCCUUGUCACCAUCUUCCCUUCUCAGCCUCUUUUUUCAUGCUAACAGGCAUAAAUGAAAUGAUAAAAGUUUGAGCUCUUCUCGUGGAAUUCUCGUGAUACAGAUAUGUGCUACAUGUUCAUCAUCUCGUUGGUCUUCACCAUGAUAACUGUGGAGUAAGAAUUAUAAGCAGGUCACAGAUUAGGGACUUGAGAUUGACAGUUUGGCUUCCCUGUUCUGGGUGGCAAAGCCUGUGGAGUACUCACCUACCUGCUGCAUGAAGGCAGCAUGGAGGGACUGUGGUGGAUUAUCUGCAAAGAUGGCCAAAAUUCUCUCAUCCCUGCAGGCACAUACAAGCCAGGUUUCCAGAAGUUCCCCAGUCAUUGAGCAUUUCUGAGGCUCUUGAUGCAUAUGCCAAGUAGUUAUGGAGAAAGACACAGCAGCUUACCUCUGCAGGCAUCAUUGUGUGAAAGGAAGACCCAGGCUCUCUCACCACCCUUGAACAGAAGCCU
rnacentral:lncRNA from 1 species